rnacentral:rRNA from 1 species
GCCGCGGUAAUUCCAGCUCCAAUAGCGUAUAUUAACGUUGUUGCAGUUAAAAAGCUCGUAGUUGAAGUGAAGUGAACAAAGAAGAGAAGAAUCUUCGGAUUCGGAUCUAAUGCGUUGACUCUUUCCAAAGUCAAUGUAUGGGUAUUCAUUUAUCUAUAUAUUGUGUUUGGUCGUUUACUGUGAGAAAAUUAGAGUGUUCAAAGCAGACGUUUGUUUGAAUACAUUAGCAUGGAAUAAUCAUAUAAGGCUUUCAUGUGUAUUUGAUUGGUUUGGAUAUGAAAGCAAGGUUAAUAGGGACAGUUGGGGGUAUUCAUAUUCAAUAGUCAGAGGUGAAAUUCUCGGAUUUAUGGAAGAUGAACAAAUGCGAAAGCAUUUACCAAGGAUGUUUUCAUUAAUCAAGGGCGAAGG